CCUACGGGAGGCUGCAGUGGGGAAUAUUGCACAAUGGGGGAAACCCUGAUGCAGCGACGCCGCGUGAGUGAAGAUGUAUUUCGGUAGGUAAAGCUCUAUCAGCAGGGAAGAAAUAGCGACCUUUGGGUCGCCAGACGGUUCCUGACUAAGAAGCCCCGGCUAACUACGUGCCAGCAGCCGCGGUAAUACGUAGGGGGCAAGCGUUAUCCGGAUUUAUUGGGUUUAAAGGGUGCGCAGGCGGGGGUGGAAGUUAGCGGUAAAAUUGCGGGGCUCAACCCCGUACUGCCGUUGAAACUGCAUCCCUUGAGUGCGCGAGAAGUAUGCGGAAUGCGUGGUGUAGCGGUGAAAUGCAUAGAUAUCACGCAGAACUCCGAUUGCGAAGGCAGCAUACCGGCGCGCAACUGACGCUCAUGCACGAAAGCGUGGGUAUCGAACAGGAUUAGAUACCCGUGUAGUC
rnacentral:rRNA from 1 species